rnacentral:rRNA from 1 species
GCCCAGCGCUGAAUCCAUCGAUCACUGGUCGCUUGGAAUUGUGGCGUAUAGGUGCGGCUGUCCGCUCGUUUCGUGCACCCAAAGUCCCCUUGAGCGGGGCCAUAGUCCAAAGAAGGUGCUAGACCUGUACGGGUGACGAGACGGUCGGUUGGUCGCUCCUUGGAGUCGGGUUGCCUGGGAUCGCAGCCCAAAGUUGGUGGUAGACCUCAUCUAAGGCUAAAUAUGGCCACGAAACCGAUAGCAAACAAGUACCGUGAGGGAAAGUUGCAAAGAACUUUGAAGAGAGAGUUCAAGAGGGCGUGAAACCGCCGAGAUUGAAACGGAUAGAGUUGACGAAACUCGAUCGCAUUCAUCCGAUCCGCCGAGCGGCUCGACGGUUGCUGACUUCCUCGAUGAGGGCAGCGCCGUCGCUGACUGUUCGGUGUUAGAUGGGUGUAUUUGCGGUCGGUAUGCGCCGAGAGCCUUGCGAACGCAUGUUGACGUUGGUGUAGUGGACCACUCCCUCCGGGCGUGGAACCCUGCGCUGAUUGAGGUGUGUCGUUGGUAGGGUGUUGCUGGUUGACGUCUCCGCUAUGGUGCGUCGGCUUUGUUGGAUUGUUGUGGCCACUGGGUGAUCGCAUGCGAGCGCCUGUGGUUGACAACGAUACGACAAGGUGCGGACGCGCUUGGGACGUGCAUCUCGGUGUGAACGUUGACCACCUAUCCG